CGGGGUGAUGAGGCUGAGAUAGGAAGUGCCGUCCGAGGCGAGACGUGACGAGGCCUCCUCGCGCCUGACC